rnacentral:lncRNA from 1 species
CGAUACAAGAUUUCAGAACCAAAUUUCAAAAACAAUUAUUACUAUUAUAUUAGAGUAUAGUAGAAAUGUAGAAUGCAUGAAUGCACUAAGUGUGCUUAUAAAUUUGGAGUAUCACCUGAAGAAAAAAGCUUAAUGAAAUUCACCAAGAAGAGAAGCAAACCUGCUGAAGCGGAAUUCACAAUUCGCUUAGUGUAUCUUAUUUAUAUGUGAAAGUUAAAAUGCAAUAGAGAGAGAAAAAUGCAGAAAAUGAAAUGUCAAUCUCUAUUACUAUAUAAAAUCAACGUCCAAGGUAUGAAUGAAGGUAGUCUUCUUGAUUAAUGGAUAAAUAACAAAAAUCAGACUAAACAAAAAAAAGAAAAGAUUAUAACAAAAGUAGCAUAAAUGUAAUGAAGUGGCAUUGAACUCACCUAAAGGUUUGAGAAAUCACUCCUAAUAGAUUAAACAGCAGCAGAGUCACCUGAAAUAAAAGGAAUAAUUAAGAAAAAAAAAUUGUUAACAAAAGAAAAAUAUUGAAAAAACCACAUGCACUAAAAGAUGAUUCUCUUAAGAACACUAAAACACAUAAUAAACUUUAUGAUUAUAGAAUCAGUUUUGUCUCUUCCAAAAUUGACCCAACCAUGAUACAAAUCAGAAAAUCACAAAAGACUAGUAUAUAAAAAAGAAAGUAAUUACCUCAGUCAUGAACAUCUAACCUAAUCCCCAAUUCGUGAAGUUGGCUAGAGAAAACCCUAAGAACCGUCCAGAUCUGUGGUUACAGGAUUUGCGAACAAAUAUUAGGGAUUUGAUAGAGAUUUGCGAGAGUGAAAAAGGAAAACAUCAAGAAACCCCUAUGAGAAGGAUCUAUAUCGUGACCGUCGGUGGUGUGGGGAUAUCGUGACUGGCAGAGUAAGAACGUGAGAAGUUGGAACUAAUCGGUGUUAAGUGUAAAGGGAAAAUGUCUUUUGUUAGAUUUAAAAAUAAAAAAAUAAAAUAAAAUAAUUCUGAGCUAAAAUUUGAGAGGGAGAUAAAAAAAAUUGGCGUACAUAAUUGGGUGGGAAGCCGAAAAAAUCAAAAUUUGAAUUUUAAUGUAGUAUUUCC